rnacentral:misc_RNA from 1 species
AACCACGGUUAAGUUACCCAAAAACUCGAAGACAAAUAUGACAGACACUAAGAAGACCCUCUUCUCAGCGCCCACUGAUGAGCAGCUCGACACCCUCACCCUAACCAUAGAGUCCAACCUAGUACCAUCCAUCUCAGAACUCGAAGCCAUAGCUAAGGAUUGGAAGACCUUAGGUUUGCAGGAGGCUGACUUCACCGCCAACGCCAUCAAGAUUGCUUGGUUCUGCUACCACUCAGGCUCCUCCGAAUCGGUCCAGGUGCAAGGAAACUCCACGUCAGACAAGAUCCCUCUAUACCAAUUAGCAGGCGUGGUGAGACAGCACUCAACCCUCAGGAGAUUCUGCAGGUACUUUGCCAAGGUUAUCUGGAAUUAUGCCCUCAGAAAGAACCAACCUCCCGCCAACUGGGCCUCCCAAAACUACAAAGAAGCAGACAGGUUCGCAGCAUUCGACUUCUUCGAAGGAGUCUCAUCCUCCGCUGCCCUAAGCCCCCCAGGAGGCCUAAUCCGAGAACCAAGCCCAAAUGAAAGAAUGGCCAACGAGACUAACAAGAACGUCCACCUCUACCAAACAGCAUCCCGAGGCAGCAAUCUUGCUACAACCAGUACGGUAGCCACCAAAGGAGCUUACUCAACCAACGCGUCCAACGCUGGGUUUCCUUAUCACAGGCCGGAGUAACCAACCACCAACCAUUCAUAUUUAAUGAAUAAACAACGCCCCGCAACGGCGUCCCACUGGGUUUAGUUGCGGCUUUAUAUAUCGCGUAUCCCUAAAACUUAAUCAGGACUGCGAGACCCGUAGACUUUUGGGUGUAU